UACGGAAGGCAGCAGUAGGGAAUCUUCCGCAAUGGACGAAAGUCUGACGGAGCAACGCCGCGUGAACGAUGAAGGCUUUCGGGUCGUAAAGUUCUGUUGUUAGGGAAGAACAAGUACCGGAGUAACUGCCGGUACCUUGACGGUACCUAACCAGAAAGCCACGGCUAACUACGUGCCAGCAGCCGCGGUAAUACGUAGGUGGCAAGCGUUGCCCGGAAUUAUUGGGCGUAAAGCGCGCGCAGGCGGUCCUUUAAGUCUGAUGUGAAAGCCCACGGCUCAACCGUGGAGGGUCAUUGGAAACUGGGGGACUUGAGUGCAGAAGAGGAGAGUGGAAUUCCACGUGUAGCGGUGAAAUGCGUAGAGAUGUGGAGGAACACCAGUGGCGAAGGCGACUCUCUGGUCUGUAACUGACGCUGAGGCGCGAAAGCGUGGGGAGCGAACAGGGAUUAGAUACCCGU
rnacentral:rRNA from 1 species